GAUGAACGCUGGCGGCGUGCCUAAUACAUGCAAGUCGAGCGAACGGACGAGAAGCUUGCUUCUCUGAUGUUAGCGGCGGACGGGUGAGUAACACGUGGAUAACCUAUCUAUAAGACUGGGAUAACUUCGGGAAACCGGAGCUAAUACCGGAUAAUAUUUUGAACCGCUUGGUUCAAAAGUGAAAGACGGUUUUGCUGUCACUUAUAGAUGGAUCCGCGCUGCAUUAGCUAGUUGGUAAGGUAACGGCUUACCAAGGCAACGAUGCAUAGCCGACCUGAGAGGGUGAUCGGCCACACUGGAACUGAGACACGGUCCAGACUCCUACGGGAGGCAGCAGUAGGGAAUCUUCCGCAAUGGGCGAAAGCCUGACGGAGCAACGCCGCGUGAGUGAUGAAGGUCUUCGGAUCGUAAAACUCUGUUAUUAGGGAAGAACAAAUGUGUAAGUAACUGUGCACAUCUUGACGGUACCUAAUCAGAAAGCCACGGCUAACUACGUG
rnacentral:rRNA from 1 species